rnacentral:lncRNA from 1 species
AGCUGCGCACACCUAAAUAAGUGUUUUUUGAUAAGUUUAAAAGCCUUUGGCUUAUGUAACGAACCAAAGAUAAAGGUCUAGGUAUAAAGGUAUAAAGGUAUCAAAGUUUUUGACAGAGAUUGUGUGUCUUAAUAUUAAGUUUUUUAUAUACAUGUUGUUAAGGUGGUACCUAACACUACAGGGAGAUAACUCUGUAAAAUCAGCUAAACGUUUUAAUUACGUAUGUUGUUAAGGGAAUAUUAAGCUUCUAAAUGACAAUAGUAUUUGUCAACCUGCUAUAUAACGUGUAAUUUUUCUGAAAAAACGGUUGUUCAGAUUAUUUGAAUUUUUUAUAUUUUCGUAAAGGGACAAGAAUAUACUUUGUCAAAAUUUUAUGAAAUUUAAACGAGCCAAAUUAAUUUUAGUGAAAGUGUUGGGUACCACCUUAAGUAAAAUUGUUGUCUUAUUUUUUUUGUGUCAUGGUGGUGUCAGUUUUUUUUACUUAGAUAAAAACUAGAAUGGUAAAAGUGAUGCCACCAAAAUUCAAACUUGAUCUGUGUAUUCUGGCAAUGAGCAUUGAUUAUAAGUUUCAUAACAUUCUUUUCUUUUUUUU